GAGGGGGACAACAGUUGGAAACGACUGCUAAUACCGCAUACGAUCUAACCUCGGCAUCGAGGAUAGAUGAAAGGUGGCCUCUACAUGUAAGCUAUCACUGAAGGAGGGGAUUGCGUCUGAUUAGCUAGUUGGAGGGGUAACGGCCCACCAAGGCGAUGAUCAGUAGCCGGUCUGAGAGGAUGAACGGCCACAUUGGGACUGAGACACGGCCCAG
rnacentral:rRNA from 1 species